rnacentral:lncRNA from 1 species
UCCUGCCAUGAGGCAGCCACAUCUUUGCUUUAUUAUUCCUCCAAUGAAUCCCAAAGCAGUGGCACACACAUUUUGCAGCCUCCUCCCAAUGCCUUUUUUUCUUUUUCUUUCUUUUUUUUUUUUUUUGCUGCUGGGCAGACCUCUGCUGGGCAGCUUGGGGGAGAAAAAUAUGUUGCCACUGAUGGUACUAAAGUUAGCCC